AGCAGGCACCGUGGUAAUUAAGAGGGGAAGGGGAAGAUGCCACCGUGGUAAAUAUGAGGAGGGGAGGGGUCAGUUAACUGCAGUCAUUUCAUCUCUCUCCAUUCUCCCUCUCCCCAAAUCCAAAGAAGUGCUCGUUGCUCCUGCAGUUGUCCCCUGACGGACAGAUCCGAGCGCUCCUGCAGGGAUGGCCGAUGCUGCUAGCCAGAAAAUCCCCAAGAAAGUUGUUGUUGCUAUGCCAUUUGAGGAACAGGGUGUUGUGGGUGUUUAUGUUGAUGGUGGGAAAUUCAGAAAAAUCCCAUACCACACUUGACACUUCUGAUUACGGUCGCAUUGUGUUGGACAGCAAGAAGUGGAAGGAGUUCGCAGCUAGCAGAGGCCUUGCGGUCAAUUCAGCAAUUCUCAUUGGCUUCAAGGAGAGCAUGACCGGCGGUGUUGAUGUCUUGCUCGGGAUCAAGAUUCUAGGCUAGGCACUCUUUGACCAGGGGAACGAAAGACAGUACAUCUAUGAUAUGUCAAGACCCGACGAGCCUUUUUUUACGCUAUGUUAAACUCUUCGUUAGUUAACUCGUAUCUCAAGAACCGUCGUUAUGUGUUGAUAUUUAAUGCCACUCUAUGUUUGUUAUGCUUUUCAUGGGAAAA